rnacentral:lncRNA from 1 species
GUCCUCUGGACUGCAAGUUGAGACUCCCGGUCCCAGGAGGGACAGCAAGGCCUUCUCCACCUUCACAGGCCAUCUGACUACCUGCGCAGCUGUUUAAAGAGCAAACCGCGCAUGAGUUAGGCCGCUUGGCCCUCCCAUUCAGACCCCUCAGGCCGCCUGUGGACAGCCUGGCUCACCCUCUAAGAGCCUUCCUGCCCGCCCUGGGAACACACACCGCAGGGUCCAGGGACUGGCGUCAGGAGCAGAGCGAACUCAGCGCCACCUGGGCUCCAGGCCAGGCUCUGCUCCAGGACUGGCCCCUCCCCGAUUCCCAUCCCUGAAGCCAGGGCCACUGGGGUUAUAGUGAACCGCUUCUGAGGACACGUGCAGCUAAGGGUGCUCAGUGGUCGCGGGCUCUUCUUUAGCUUUGUCUGCAUAUCAGC